AUGCCAAUAAAAUUAUUAUUAUUUAAAAAAGAUUUUAUUUAUUUGACAGAGAGAGACACAGUGAGAGAGAAAACACAGCAGGGGGAGUGCGAGAGGGAGAAGCAAGCUUCUUGCCCGGCAGGGAGCCUGAUGUGGGACUUGAUCUCAGGUGCCCCCUCUUUUGGUUUCUUAAGAUAGAAGGUUAGAUUAGUGAUCGAGAUCUCUCUACUUACAUUAGUCUGCUCUGGCUGCCAUAACAAAAUACCAGAGAACGGGGAGAUUAUUUCUCACAGAAAAUUAUUUCUUGGAGUGCCUGGGUGGCUCAGUUAAGUGUCUGCCUUCAGCUCAGGUCGUGAUCCCAGAGUGCUGGAUUGAGCCCUACAUCAGUCUCCCUGCUCAGUGGGAAGCCUGCUUCUCCCUCUCCCACUCCCCCUGCUGUGUUCCUCCUCUCACUCUCU
rnacentral:lncRNA from 1 species